UCUCCUCGGCGGCGCAUCCUGCAGGUCUGGGGCCUGCCCCGGCGCGGUGGCGCGUGGGGCCCUUCGGGGCAGUGGUCAGCGCGGCGGCGGCCGCAGACCCGGCCCGCUCGGGGCGCGCUCCCGCGAGGCCGGGCACCACCGCCGGGGCCGUGUCCACCCGAAUCGGGGCGCCCCGGGGGCCGAGCGAGCGCGCAGCAGGUGCGGGACUUGGAGAGGUCACGCUGGCCGUGGGGGCUGCAUCCCCGUGACCGCCGAGGGCGGAGACCCGAGGCCUGGUGUCGGGUCCGAGCCGGCCUGGCUCCCUCCGCGGACUCGGCGUGGCGCGCGCUCCUAGGAUCCUUGAGACGUCCCUGAAAUGUGCGUGCCCGCGGCUCCCCGGCGCGCUUUGAAUCCGGGGGUCCUUAAGUUUCCCUCUGUCUCGUAGGACCCCCGCCCGCCCGGCGCUCGCUGUCCGGGGGAGCCUCCGGCCGGGAUGGAGACGCCCCGCAUCCGCGCUGUCCGAGGGCUCGGGGCGCUCCGCUGUGGCCAGCCCGCCUGUGUCCUCAGCCUCGGGCUCUGCGUUUGUGGAAGUGCGGCCUGAGGGUUCUGUGUGCUCUUAGGCAGAUCUGGGGCCCCUGGUGAAGAAGGCUCCAGCUAAAGUGAAUUUGCCCCUUGGGCUCCGCUGGAACAGAGCAACUCUACUGAGGCAAGAAGGAGGAGCUUCAGGAACAGGAAUCUCACUGGGAAGGACCCCUCCGCCCCCCGCCUCUGACCCGACACCCAUCAGAGCUGCAGAAGAGAGGCAGAAGAAACCCAGAAAAGGAGCAUUUCGCCCAGAGGGGUCAAGGCUUGAGUGAUUUCACGUUUAGAAGCCGUGUGCCUUUCCAAGUUUUGAUGCUCUUCCAAGAACAAUAGAAAAUGAACAAAUCCCAAAAAUGUGCUGGUCAUGGAUCUGUGUCAUUUGAGGAUGUGACUGUGGACAUCACGCAGGAUGAGUGGCUACAACUGACCCUUAUGCAGAGGACUCUGUACCCGGACGUGAUGCUGGAGGACUACAGCCACUUGGUCUCAGGGCCCUGAUGUCCAGUAGCUUGUCAGAAGUGUCACCCCGUAUCUCACUCACAAGGUAUCGCAUCACCAAAUCAGAAGUGGUCUUCAAGUUGGAGCAAAGAGAAGAGCCAUGACCAUUAGAGGGAGAAUUCCCAGACCAGGGUGAUCCAGACAGAAGCCAGGAAAACUAAGAUGAACAUUUGUGGCAAGUUUCACUCAUCAACAAAAAAACACUGACUAAAAGAGAAAUAAUAUUUUCAGAAGAACACCCUGUCAAUAUGACUUAACGUGGAAUGAGUUUGAAAGAUGUUUCAGAAUCAAUUAUUAGUGAUAAAAGUCAUUCAGGUAAGAACUCUAAUGAAAUUAACACACGUGGGAAGUGGCUUCUUGAUAAUAAUGAAGAAAAUACUAAUACUGGGACAAAAUCUGAUGAACAUAACCAAGAUGGGAAAUCCCUGAAUCAUAAUGAGGACCUUACUGAGCAACAGAAAAUUCAAAGUUUGGGACCACCUUUUGAAGAUAAUGAAUGUGGAGAACCUUCCUUAAGAAGGCAGCUGUCAUUCCACCUAAGAGGGUUCAAACAGGCGAGAAAUCCUGUGAUUAUGAGGAAUGUGGGGAAAUAUCAGUGACAGGUCAACACUCAAAGCCCAUCAUGAAACUCACACAAGGAGGAACCACUUUGAAGUCGAGUGUGGGAAGCCAAUCCUCUUUAAACAUCAGAAAGUUAACAUGGAGGAGAAAACCCAUGAAUCUAAGGAAAAUGAGAAUAAUUUCAGCAAGAAGUCCUACCUCACUCAACCUCAUAAAACUUACAUAGGAGAGAAACCUUUGAAUGUAGUCAUUGCAAAGAUUCUUUUUUUCACCAGGAUUCCCACCUCACUCGACAUCAGAAGACACACAUGAGGGAGACACCAUGAGAAAGUAACAAAUGUGGGGAAAACUUCUGGAAAUCACAACCCACUGACCCUCAGAGAACUCACAGAGGAGAGAAGCCCAAUGAAUGUCAUGAAGUCCCUGUGAAGUCAACCCUUACUGAUCAGCAGAGAACACAGUCAGAAAAGAAGAUUUAUGUAUGUAAUGAGUGCAAGAAAUCUUUUCAUCAUCGCUCAGCCUUAAAAGUCCAUCAGAGAAUUCAUCAGAGAAUUGAUAGGAGAGAGGCCCUAUCAAUGUAAUGAAUGUGAGAAAACCUUCUGUGUGAAGUUAAAUCUCACUAAACAUCAGAAAAUGCACACAGGUUUGAAACCCUAUGAAUGUAAUGCGUGUGGCAAAUCCUUCUCUAUAAUUCAGUCCUCAUUGUACAUCAGAGAACUCACACGGGGGAGAAACCCUACAGGUGCAAUGAACGUGAAAAGUCCUUCUACAAAAAGUCAGCCCUCACUAAACGUCAGAAAACUCUCAGGGGAGAAACCACAUGAAUGUAAUGCAUGUGAGAAAGCCUUCCAUGGGAAAUCAACCUUAAUUAUACAUCGGAGAAGUCACACUGGAGAGAAACCCUUUAAAUGUAAUGAAUGUAGAAGUCACGCUAUGUGAAGUCACUUAAUAUCCAUCAGAGAAAUCACACAGGGAGGAAACUCUGUGUAUGUAAUGAAUAUGGGAAAGCCUCUUCUAUGAGGUCAGACCUCACUGAUCAUCAGAGAACACAUUCAGAAGAGAAACCCUAUAAAUGUAAUGAAUGUCAGAAGACCUUUCACCAUAAGUUAACCCUAACUGUACACCAGAGAACUCAUACAGGAGAGAAACCCUAUAAAUGUAAUGAAUGUGGGAAUUCCUCCUAUAUGAAGUCAGCCUUCAGUCAACACCAGAGAAUACACACAGGGGAGAAACCUUAUGAAUGUAAGGGAUGUGGAAAAACCUUCUGCCAGAAGUCACACCUCAUUGAACACCAGAGAACACACACUGGAGAGAAGCCCCAUGAAUGUAAUAAAUGCGGGAAGUCUUCCUGUUGUAAGUAAGCCUUCACCAUACACCAGGGAACUCACACAGAAGAGAAACCCUAUACAUGUGAUGAAUGUGAGAAAUCCUUCUGUAUGAAAUCACACCUCACUAUACAUCAGAGAACUCACACAGAGAAGAACCCCUUUGAAUGUAAUAAAUGUGGGAAAAGUUUUUAUGUGAAAUCAAACCUCAUUAAUCAUCAGAGAACUCACACAGGGGAGAAGCCUUACGAAUGUAAGAGAUGUGGGAAAUUCUUCUGUAUGAAGUCAACUCUCGCUAAACGUCAAGUAAUACACACGAGAGACCCUAAGUUGCAACAAAUGUGGAUAAUCCUCUUGUGUGAAGUCAAAUUUUGUCACACCAUAGAGAACUCACAGGAGAAACCUUAUGAAUGUCAUAAUGUGGAGACUUCCGUCUGUGUAAAUUCAGUCUUUCGUUGGUAUCAGAAAACACACAUAGGGUAGGGGUUGGCAGGCUCUCCAUGAAGGAAAUGAAUAUUGGAAAACCUUCUGUAUCAUACCUUACUAAGUAUCAGAGAACUCACAGGGAGAGAGAUCUCAGAACAUUGUGUAUAUUAGUAUCCACCUACUAAUCAAAGAUAUGCUUCAGAGAAAUCACAGGGUGAAAAUGCAAAGAAUGCAACAGAAAUACGAAAGCAUUUACAAAGUCACAACUUACUGGACAUCAGGUGAUUGAUACUGGGGUGAAAUGAUACAAAUGUUUUAUAUGCACGAAAGCUUUCAAGAAAAAAAGAAAACUUUAUUAUCUAAGAAAAGAAUGAGGGGGAAUCUAUCAAUUUAGGAAAUGUGGAUACAUUUUUUUCUUUAGAAAUAAUGUAAUACUGGAAGUCAUGAUUCUGGUGUGGUGCCAAGUUUUGAAAAUGUGACAUACCAUCUAUCUAAUGCUAAUGAUACUCGUUGGAAUGUGAAGCCUUUGGAAACAGAAGUUGCAGCAGCAAGUGGACAGCAUUAGACACGAAGUGUACUUGAGCAAGGCUUAUGUAUGUUAGUGUGCAGCAUACACGUGUGUGUAUGUCUGAUUCACGUAGUGGAUGUCAAAAGAGUUGUCACUAGGAAAUAUCUCCCCACAGCUUAAUAAUUAUCAUGACAUUUCUCACACUAGAUGCCACCAGUGUUUGUGUUUUGGUAGUACAAUGUACAUCAUCAGUGACAUGUUUGACAAAUCAGAAGUACUGUACCACAGCAUGUUAAGUGAGAAAAGCAAAAUACAGAAAACCGUAUAGAGCAUGAUACCUUUUGUGUAAGAGAGGAAAGAAGUAUAUAUAUAUGUCUAUGUAUACACACACACACAUCAUUGCUUAUUUUUGCAAGACAAGCGUUAGACGUACAAACUAAUAAAAAUGAACACCUGUGGAGGCAGGAGUAGACAGGGCGGUGGAGACAGGGAUGGAAACAAGGCUUCUUUGAUUAUACCUUUUUAUGAAAUUUUGACUUUUGAGCAAAUGUAAAUGAUUUACAUAUUCAGAAAUAAAAAUAAAAGUAGAUUAUGAAAUUGAAAA